rnacentral:rRNA from 1 species
GACGGACCCGCACAAGCGGUGGAUCAUGUUGUUUAAUUCGAUGAUACGCGAAGAACCUUACCUGGUCUUGACAUCCCGGAGACCCUUAGGAAACUAGGGGUGCUCCAUCUGGAAGAAUCUGGAGACAGGUGCUGCAUGGCUGUCGUCAGCUCGUGUCGUGAGAUGUUGGGUUAAGUCCCGCAACGAGCGCAACCCUUGCCUUUAGUUGCCAGCAGUUCGGCUGGGCACUCUAAAGGGACUGCCGGUGUUAAACCGGAGGAAGGUGGGGAUGACGUCAAGUCCUCAUGGCCUUUAUGACCAGGGCUACACACGUACUACAAUGGCCGAUACAAAGGGCAGCGACACUGCGAGGUGAAGCCAAUCCCGUAAAAUCGGUCUCAGUCCGGAUUGGAGUCUGCAACUCGACUCCAUGAAGUUGGAAUCGCUAGUAAUCGUGGAUCAGCAUGCCACGGUGAAUACGUUCCCGGGCCUU